GCUUAGGAAUCUGCCCAGUAGCGGGGAGUAGCUCGGGAACGUCGAAUUAAUACCGCAUACGCCCUACGGGGAAGGACAAGGGAGUCUUCGGACCUUGCACUAUUGGAUGAGCCUAAGUCAGAUUAGCUUGUUGGUGGGGUAAAAGGACCUACCAAGGCGACGAUCUGUAGCUGGUCUGAGAGGACGAUCAGCCACACUGGGACUGAGACACGGCCCAGACUCCUACGGGAGGCAGCAGUGGGAAGUAUUGGACAAUGGGGCGAACCCUGAUCCAGCAAUGCCGCGUGUGUGAAGAAGGCC
rnacentral:rRNA from 1 species